UGAAAUCUGGGUCCUGGUGAAUUUAUUGGAAUCCGAGAAGUUAGUUUGUAAAAAAAGGAAUUUGAAGAAAAUGAAUCGCAGUGCGAGAACUUCAAAAUCUUGGUGAUCCCCCCUUCCCAGAGAGAGACAUGGAGAGAGAGAGAAGAGAUAAAGAGAGAAGGGAUGGAGACCCCGACGAGGCAGGGUGAGAAACAAGAAAAGGGGAAGAGAGAGGGAGAGAUAAA
rnacentral:lncRNA from 1 species